GUAGUUUUCAUGUCACUCUGUUGCGUGCUAAAAUCUAUCAACACAGUUGCUGAUGUGCACAACUAACAACUGUUUUACUUCAAUAGAGUUUGCCAGCCGUUAUUGAAACAAAAAGUUAUUCAGUGUAAAAACUAAAAAAGCAAUGCCGAAGUCUAAAAUUACCAAGAGUUUAAAAAUUCACACUCUGAUUCCCGAGUUUGGUUCUGAUGUAUUUUGUACUGAUGGGACCGUUUUAUUUUGCAAUAUUUGUUCAGUAAAAGUUAAUCACGAAAAAAAAUAUUAUAUACAGCAGCAUAUUAAAAGUGAAAAACAUAUAAAAGGAUUAUAAAUAAAGAAAAACAAGACCCAAAUGAUAGCACCAUUUGUGGAAAAGAAUGUAUUUUACGCAGAUAUUACUAAAAUGAUGAUUGCAUGCGGAAUUCCACUUUAUAAAUUGAAGAGUGUGGAAUUCAAAUCAUUCUUUGAAAAAUACGUUCAGGAAUCCCUUCCCGAUGAAUCAACUCUUAGAAAAAAUUACGUGAAGGAUUGUUACGAGUCCGUUUUGCAGAAAAUUCGUUUAGAAAUAGGAGAAAGCCCCAUCUUUGUGUCCAUCGAUGAAACUACAGAUAAGGCAGGCCGCAGUGUAACCAACGUUAUUGUUGGACCGUUGCGUGAAAGCGGACGCGGCUAUCUCUUGACGGUGGAGGUGUUGGAUAAGGUGAACUCAUCAACAAUCGCAACAUUGUUUGACGAUUCUAUGCACAUUUUAUGGCCAAUAGGAUUCCAACGUGAAAAAGUGUCGGUAUUUGUGACUGAUGCAGCACCCUACAUGAAGAAAAGUGCGUCAUCAUUGAAGCUGCUUUAUCCUAAUAUGAUUCAUAUCACCUGCGUCGCACAUGGCGUACACCGGGUCUGCGAAUCUCUACGCUCGAAGUACUCAGAUGUUGACGUCUUAAUUUCAAACUUAAAAAAAGUUUUCUUGAAAAGCCCAUUCAGGGUGGCAGUUUUCAAAGAAAUGGAACCCAAUCUUCCUCUGCCUCCUCAGCCGGUGAUAACUCGAUGAGGCACAUGGCUAAUUGCAGCCGUAUAUUAUGCCGAAAACUAUGAUUCCAUCAAAAGAAUAAUUGACCAAAUAACGUCAGUUUCUCGAAGCAAUUGUUGAGCAAAAAAUCGGUUCAGGGGAAUUUGAUAUAUAUAAAAUGCAAUUUUGGUUUUCUUUUAGAGGAAAAAGUUUUCGAACGUCUACAGAAAACAGGAACUCCAGUUGGUGAGGUAUUAAAUAUUUUGGAUAACAUUGAGAAGCGGCUUAUAGAAGCGCAGGGACCUAUUGCCAAAUUGGUGUUGGAAA
rnacentral:misc_RNA from 1 species